UACGUAGGGUGCAAGCGUUGUCCGGAAUUAUUGGGCGUAAAGAGCUCGUAGGCGGUUUGUCGCGUCUGCUGUGAAAUCCCAGGGCUUAACCCUGGGCCUGCAGUGGGUACGGGCAAACUAGAGUGCGGUAGGGGAGAUCGGAAUUCCUGGUGUAGCGGUGAAAUGCGCAGAUAUCAGGAAGAACACCAAUGGCGAAAGCAGCUCUCUGGGACGGUACUGACGCUGAGACGCGAAAGCGUGGGGAGCGAACAGG
rnacentral:rRNA from 1 species